UACGUAGGUGGCAAGCGUUGUCCGGAUUUAUUGGGUUUAAAGGGUGCGUAGGCGGUCUUUUAAGUCGGAUGUGAAAUCUCCCGGCUCAACUGGGAGGGGUCAUUCGAUACUGGCGGGCUCGAGGCCGGUAGGGGGAAGUGGAAUUCCCGGUGUAGUGGUGGAAUGCGUAGAUAUCGGGAGGAACACCGGUGGCGAAGGCGGGUCUCUGGGCCGAUACUGACGCUGAGGAGCGAAAGCGUGGGGAGCGAACAGG
rnacentral:rRNA from 1 species